GACCUCGAUUUGCGGGUUAUGAUGCAUCAUGUGCUGGAUGGAAACAACCAGUCUGCCGGCAGAAGUUUUCAUUGCUCCUGCCCCUAACAUGGGGGUUUUGACCCAGCACUUGACCAGCUGAAGACCUCAGAGCCCAAUAACGAGCCACCUGGGGCUGGACUGGAGGUGAUCCUUGGAAGGAUAAAUAAACCCAAUUUAAAGAUGUUGG
rnacentral:lncRNA from 1 species